rnacentral:rRNA from 1 species
UACGUAGGCAGCAAGCGUUGUUCGGAGUUACUGGGCGUAAAGGGCGUGUAGGCGGUUUUUUAAGUUUGGUGUGAAAUCUCCCGGCUCAACUGGGAGGGUGCGCCGAAUACUGAAAGACUAGAGUGCGGGAGAGGAAAGUGGAAUUCCUGGUGUAGCGGUGAAAUGCGUAGAUAUCAGGAGGAACACCGGUGGUGUAGACGGCUUUCUGGACCGUAACUGACGCUGAGACACGAAAGCGUGGGUAGCAAUCAGG